rnacentral:lncRNA from 1 species
UGAUAUCUUUAAGCUGCCCUAAUGCCUUGCCUAUAAAGGCACCAAGACUUGCUAUUCAAGUCAGAUUUUGAAGAGAUAAGAAUCGUAAAAACUGAAAGGGCUGCCUCUUCUUUAAAAUUUGGGAAGCAACCUUGAAUUCCGGAUCUCUGAAAGCUCAUGGUUUGCAUUCUGGGUUAAAAUGGAUUGAGUUUUGGGUAUUGUAGAGUUUGAUUUGGGUUUUGCUGUGGUAUUCACUGCUCCAUUGCUGGGUUUAGAGCUGGUUUCUAUUUUUUUUAGUUCCCUUUUAGUGAGAUUUUUUAUAAAAAAAAGCUGUCAAAGUGGUAGUGAUUCUGGGUUGAAUCUAGUUCAAAAGCUAAAUUGUUGUUGUGUGGCUAUUUCCGUUACUGGCUAUUGCUGUUGUUUCUCCUUGAAUUCCAACUCAUUUUUCAUUUGUGAAUUGUUAUAAUCAGGUACGCCUUGGAUCUCUUGUCAUGUGAAGUGAAAGUGUGAAUCCCUGUAAUUCAAGUUGAAGAAAAUGAUCGACACUAAUGUUCUGCUGCUUGUUCAAUUUGAAUUUGAUUUUUUGGUUCAUCUUAGUAUAGCUCUUUUGUGCAUUUCAUUUUAUUUUAAGGUUUAGACUUGGAUUUAUUGGGAUGUAUCCGAUUUGAGAUUGUUUUAGACUCUAUAAUGUGUAAUAAUUAUGGACUGUGAUUGGUAAUUCAGCUGGCUGAAACUGUUUGGUUUUUUUGUGAUUUCAUAAGGUCAAAUUCAUGUCAACUCCGAUCAUAAGCUUACUGAAUUUGGUUUAAGUCAUUUUCCAGUAAUUUUGCUCAAAUUUACAUCUGUAUGGUUUGAAACAUAGUUCAAUGUUUUCAUAGCUUAUCACUGGUUCUUCUUUUGUGUGUGUUCUGAGCCAUUCAAAUUUCUGAAAGGGGAUUUUCAAGAGAAUUAAGCCUGAUUUCAGAUUUGACAAUUCGCAGGCCCAAGUCAGUUCGUUUUUAUUGGUUUCUUUCUUCUUCCUUAAGAAUUUUAAGUUAGUAUGAUCCAGUUAAACGGGUUGGCUUGAAUCAGAUAUUACAUGAGUUUAUGGUCACUAAGUUUUGAUAUUAGAUGAUGGGUAAUUUGUGCAACCUGAAAUUAUAGUUGCCAUAGAAUGCAUGCACUGAUUUCUGAACGUAUUUUACAUUUGACAGAGGGUUGUUAGCACUUGU